GAUGAAGAACGUAGUAAAAUGCGAUACUUGGUGUGAAUUGCAGAAUCCCGUGAACCAUCGAGUUUUUGAACGCAAGUUGCGCCCGAAGCCUUUUGGCCGAGGGCACGUCUGCCUGGGCGUCACGCAUCGCGUCGCCCCACACAAUUCUCCGUAAAGGGAACAUGUGUUUUGGGGGCGGAUAUUGGUCUCCCGUGCUCAUGGCGUGGUUGGCCGAAAUAGGAGUCCUUUCGAUGGACGCACGAACUAGUGGUGGUCGUAAAAACCCUCGUCUUUUGUUUCGUGCUGUUGCUCGCAAGGUAAACUCUUUAAAAACCCCAAUGUGUCGUCUCUUGACGACGCUUCGACCGCGACCCCAGGUCAGGCGGGACUACCCGCUGAGUUUAAGCAUAUCAAUAAGCGGAGGA
rnacentral:misc_RNA from 1 species